rnacentral:rRNA from 1 species
GACGUAGGGCGCGAGCGUUGUCCGGAUUUAUUGGGCGUAAAGAGCUCGUAGGCGGCUCAUUGCGUCAAUCGUGAAAACCAGCAGCUCAACUGUUGGCUUGCAGUCGAUACGGGCAGGCUGGAGUUCGGUAGGGGAGACUGGAAUUCCUGGUGUAGCGGUGAAAUGCGCAGAUAUCAGGAGGAACACCGGUGGCGAAGGCGGGUCUCUGGGCCGAUACUGACGCUGAGGAGCGAAAGCGUGGGGAGCGAACAGG